CCUACGGGAGGCAGCAGUGGGGAAUCUUGCGCAAUGGGCGAAAGCCUGACGCAGCCAUGCCGCGUGAAUGAUGAAGGUCUUAGGAUUGUAAAAUUCUUUCACCGGGGACGAUAAUGACGGUACCCGGAGAAGAAGCCCCGGCUAACUUCGUGCCAGCAGCCGCGGUAAUACGAAGGGGGCUAGCGUUGCUCGGAAUUACUGGGCGUAAAGGGAGCGUAGGCGGAUAGUUUAGUCAGAGGUGAAAGCCCAGGGCUCAACCUUGGAAUUGCCUUUGAUACUGGCUAUCUUGAGUACGGAAGAGGUAUGUGGAACUCCGAGUGUAGAGGUGAAAUUCGUAGAUAUUCGGAAGAACACCAGUGGCGAAGGCGACAUACUGGUCCGUUACUGACGCUGAGGCUCGAAAGCGUGGGGAGCAAACAGGAUUAGAUACCCUGGUAGUCCACGCUGUAAACGAUGAGUGNUAGUUGUCGGUCAUGCAUGCAUGUCGGUGACGCAGCUACGACAUAGUCACNCCGCCGUCGGGAGGUACGGUCGCGAGAAGUAAACGUAACGAAGUUAAGUUAGUACGCGUUGAGACGNGCGACGGACGACGACGAGGGAGGAGG
rnacentral:rRNA from 1 species